rnacentral:rRNA from 1 species
AUCCACAGCCAUGCUACCCUGAACAAGCCUGAUCCCGUCUGAUCUUGGAAGCUAAGCAGGGUCAGGCCUGGUUAGUACUUGGCUAGGACAUCACCUAGGAAGACCAGGUGCUGUAGGCA